ACUGCGGGCGUGACUGCUACGCCAUCCACGUCGCCACCGCCCUCACGCUGAUGACCGGGCUUUACCAGGCCUUCUGUCCUAGGUGGAGUGGGGGAUGGCCUCCCCACCCCCGAAGGUCUCCUGCCUUGGCCUGUCCACCUUGGCCCCCGUUGGCUCCACAUCUGCAUGGGGGGCAGUGGGCACCAUGUGUAGGAAGCAGGAGGAAGGGGUUGCCUUCUGAUACCAGAGGUCUUAAUUCUGAAAUAAAACGGGCUGCUGCACGUGA
rnacentral:sRNA from 1 species